CACGGGUGCGUAACGCGUGGGAAUCUGCCCUUGGGUACGGAAUAACUCAGAGAAAUUUGUGCUAAUACCGUAUAAUGACUUCGGUCCAAAGAUUUAUCGCCCAAGGAUGAGCCCGCGUAAGAUUAGCUAGUUGGUGGGGUAAAGGCCUACCAAGGCUACGAUCUUUAGCUGGUCUGAGAGGAUGAUCAGCCACACUGGGACUGAGACACGGCCCAGACUCCUACGGGAGGCAGCAGUGGGGAAUAUUGGACAAUGGGCGAAAGCCUGAUCCAGCAAUGCCGCGUGAGUGAUGAAGGCCUUAGGGUUGUAAAGCUCUUUUACCCGGGAUGAUAAUGACAGUACCGGGAGAAUAAGCUCCGGCUAACUCCGUGCCAGCAGCCGCGGUAAUACGGAGGGAGCUAGCGUUGUUCGGAAUUACUGGGCGUAAAGCGCGCGUAGGCGGUUUUUUAAGUCAGAGG
rnacentral:rRNA from 1 species